ensembl:lncRNA
CAGCACCGCCACCGCCGUACAGAGAAAUGUAGUGACACUGGUUCACACUCGAGUCGCAAGAGGAAUAUUCUGCGAUGAGAGGAAAUUCAACAAAGACAAACUAAACGAGAGAGAGCGUCUAAACAGACACACACAGAUCUGCAUUUUGGAAUGGAGAGUAAAAAAAAACGUGUUAUGGUGUGGACGGAAAACUACAAAUGAUUUCAGCAGUGGAUGAAUGAGGUUUCACUAAGCAGGAACUUUUUUUUGGGAUGAACCUGGCCGUUGGAAAAGAGAGGAGUAGAAACUGCAAGCUUUUUAUGCAUCAACACAGUGUACACACGGACACACAUGCGCCUAGACAAAUGUUUACACCGAAUUGAUCAGACAAGGGAAAAAGUUGUGCCUUUUUUAAUCUUUCAGGCUUCUUUAUAGCCAUACUGUCUGAACUGCUGACAAACUUGCAUAGGAAUUUAAAAAAGGUUGGCGUAAUCUUUCUUUUCUUUUUUGCGCUUAUUUAUUGUUUUGCUCCUUGUUGGUAAUUUCCACUCUUUUUCUUUUCUUUUAAUUUUAUUUUAAGUUGUCUGGUUGAUCUAAUGAUGCCGAAAUGUAAACAAAAGUAAACAGUACAGGGGUUGUAGCACGUAGAAAUAGAUGCAUUAUUUUGUAACUACUUUUUACAUAUGGAAAAAUCAAGGUGUUCCUUUCUUCAGUUAAAUGGUUGUUAGGUCAAAUCAUUAAUCUCCAUUCAUUGUCAAACGAUUACAUCAGCUGUUCAAAUUUAUGAUUAACCAAUAACGGCUUUUAUGCUAAUACACAUUUACGUUUGUACAAAUAUACCAUGCUAUACAAUUCAUGCAUAUGCAAAUCCAUAACUGGGUAUUAACUACCAAAAUCGACAGAGUAAAUGCAAGGAAUCAGAUUUCAGGUCAGUGUUUGGUGUUGGGAAAUAGCCAUAAUUCAGUCCCAAUUGACUUGUUGUCAUUCAACACAAGACCUACCUUGGUGUUCCAGGAACUUAUAUUUUUUAAUCUAAAUACACCCAUCUUUCUAUUUGAUGUUUUGGCUCUACUCCCUGACUCUCAAUGAGUUUGGUUCUGUUUUCUGCAGUUCAGUUAGAUUCGUUUUGCAUGGUGUGAGUUCUGAGGAAACUGAAGCUUCUCUAUUUAAACCUAUUUCUUUUGAUGAGGUCACACACUGGUAUGCAAAUGUGUGUUGAUGGGAAGGUUGACUCCCAGUUAGUCCUGGGGGAAUGGAUGUGUGAGUGUGACUGUCUGGACAGCGUAACAUAGUGCACGUGAGACAAUGCUAACAGGCAAUAUGGUGAUAAUGAUCAAUAUAUAUUUUUUUAUAAAUCUAGCCCCCAAUUAAUCUUGUGAUUAAAAAACGAAUAAAUAUAAUUUUUAUGGUAAAGUAAAAUUUGGUUACAUUUAUAAUAUUUAAAAAUUUGAUCAAAUACAAAUGUUUCUAUCUAGUCCUCGUCAACAGUUUGUAUUUGCGAACAUUAUCUUGAAUAAAGAUAUUAAGAACCGAGGAAUCAGGGAACAAAAAGGAGAACCCUGCUUGUGAGCAAAAGUCCUCUGUGCACAAUAUGAAGGUGAACCAGAAUGUUACAGCGGGAGCGAGAAAGAUCUUUCUUUCUUACAUUGUAUUUUCCCAUCAACCUUGGCAUUUUGCUUCAACUUCUUUAUAUUCUUAAAAAAACAACAACGUAUUGUUAAUAAUUAGAAAUCAAAAUAAUAUAUUUAAAAACAAAAAGAGUGAACUAUGAAGAAGUGUGUUUGAAAUUAUUUGGCAAGAUCAUUAUUUUUUGAGCGCUCCAUCAUUGAGGUUGGUGGAAAUAUUCACAAUCCAUGAGUUAAUCUGUAAGCCGUUUUCCCCCUCACUUGGAUGUAUUAUAGCAGUGCCAAAUCAAAUAUCAAAUUGUUUCUAGUUCAUUUCUACUCCCAGAGUAAGGGGUCUGUAUGGAGUAGUUAUUGUCAGUUAACCACUUAAGUUGUCCGUCAUUUGUGGCUGUCAUCAAAACUUGGCUUCAGGGUGCUCAUUUAUGAAAAUCUGAUCCUGUUUUGUUAUUUAAACUAAACCGUAUUUUUUAUGUAUAUUAAAAAAAUGAUCUAUAUAUAAAUCUAUAUAUAUUUAAAAAAGUACUCCUAAACUUUUUGGUCCAGAUUGAUUUUUAUUGUCAGUAUGCUAUUACUGUUAGAAAUUGUAUUGUACUAUUAAAUCAGCACAGAAGUACCCUAUCAUAUCCAAAGCUGCACUCAUCUGUAGUGCAUGUGUUGCUUUUUAUCGAAGUAGCAAAGCUACAAACCUACCUAACAUACUCAAGUGGCUUCUCAAAGAGCCACACAUGUGGUUUACUUUCUGACCCGUGGUUUUACUCAGACCAUUAUGCCCUUUGACCCAUUGUCCCAAAUACAUCUUUACAGAGAAAGAAAAAGGCUAAUGUAUGCUAUUCCGAAUUGCAGGUAAUAGGUUGCCAUAGAGACAAGUCUUUUGUGUGCUAGCUGAAGCUGUCAGUGAAGGCAGGUUGAGGGUGCAUGGGAGCCAGUAUUCUACGAGACAAAGUAUCUUGUGGCCAUUAAGCGGUCGUCCAUCUGUGUUUAUUUCCUCCCUAAGGGCGAUCCUAGUUUCAUCCAAUUCCCUCUGUCAAUAGAUUUAUUUCCCUGGCAGGAUUCUUAUCGUUAAUAAUUAAAGACAAUGUUUUUUCUUUAAACAUACAGUAUUACAAUAUUUUGGAUUUCAGGUGGCGGUGCUUCUGGUAACCAGCUUUAACCAUCUCGAUGUGUUCAUACGCCUGCUUCUUUCUGAAAUGGCCAUAAGUGUACAUAACGGUAAAUAUAUAUCCAGCGCCUAUCUGAUAUUACAGAAUAUUUUUUCAAGGAAAAAUCCUGUAUAUUCCUAUGCUUCACGUUUUCCUUUUAAAAAAGACAUAUUUGAAAUGUUUGACUAAAAGGCCUUGAGAGAGAUGGAGUCCGAGAGCCAUAGACAAAGGGUUUAAAAUUCAGGAAGAACAGACUUAAUUAUCAAUGCUUUUUAUGAUUUAUUGUAAAAAAAUAUAUAUUGAAACGAUAUUCUCAGCAUUUUGUAUUACAGCAGCUUAGUCUCUUUUUGGUAUCCAUCAUUUUACUCAAUCUUUUUGUACAUUGAGUCUCAACAAAUGUCCCAGAGCCCUGACCCCUUUUCUCCUGUUUGUUGUUUUUUGUGUUUGAUAAAGUAGUCGUGUUGCUUACGUUUGCAAAGUGUUAAACAUGGGCACGUUGUAAUGUAAAUGUCAUUUUUAACAACCCCACAGGAAGUCGUUAUGAAUAAUCACUGUGUUUUAAAGUUAGGGGAGACGAUAACGAUGUCAGUAUCGGUGGGGGGUCCCUCGAAUGGACAUUUUCUACAUCAAUGACCAAAGCAGAAAAUAUAUAAAUAUAUACAUAUACUUUAAGAGUUGACAACAGAGUAUUCGAACAGAUGUGUAUGAAGUAGCACCAAGGAAUAUCAGACAUAAAGACCUUCUAUAUUGAGUUUGAUGAUCUCGU